rnacentral:rRNA from 1 species
GUAGGGAAUCUUGCGCAAUGGGCGAAAGCCUGACGCAGCCAUGCCGCGUGAAUGAUGAAGGUCUUAGGAUUGUAAAAUUCUUUCACCGGGGACGAUAAUGACGGUACCCGGAGAAGAAGCCCCGGCUAACUUCGUGCCAGCAGCCGCGGUAAUACGAAGGGGGCUAGCGUUGCUCGGAAUUACUGGGCGUAAAGGGAGCGUAGGCGGAUAGUUUAGUCAGAGGUGAAAGCACAGGGCUCAACCUUGGAAUUGCCUUUGAGACUGGCUAUCUUGAGUAUGGAAGAGGUAUGUGGAACUCCGAGUGUAGAGGUGAAAUUCGUAGAUAUUCGGAAGAACACCAGUGGCGAAGGCGACAUACUGGUCCAUUACUGACGCUGAGGCUCGAAAGCGUGGGGAGCAAACAGGAUUAGAAACCCCGGUAGUCC